AGGUCCUUUACUUCCUCCUGCAGCACAGCCUGGAGCCUGACUCCUGCACUUGGUAGUUGAAAUAAAAACAUCCGACCGUCCAUAGUGAAGGAUUGUCAGAGGAAGAGGAGGACACGCCCCGCUCAGGUUGGCCGGAAGCCUUCCCAAUAGCCAAAGCAAAUGCCAAGAAUACGGCAAAGUGAAGUCAGUGAACUGAUAUGCAGAUCCUGACUGACAGCUUGCAGCCCGGAGACUGGGUGGUCAUAAAGAGGCAUGUGAGAAAGCACUAGAUCCAAGAUUCGAUGGUCCCUUUCAAGUACUGUUGACCACCCACACCGCUGUAAAGGUUGUAGGAAAACUCAACUGGAUACACGCUUCUCACUGCAAGAAAGUCUUGGAACCACAAGAUGAAGGUCCUUCUGCUGACAGUGGCUCUGACCCUGAGCGUGUCGGCAGUGUUUCGUCCACUGAAUGAUGAAUGGGACAAUGCUUUGAUACGGCACCAUCAGGUGCUGUUUGAAGGAAUGAAUGAAAAGUGAUAGACUGUUGGAUCUGUACUCACAGUCCUGCGAGUUCAGCCAGUAUGCCCUAUUUCGCCGUGCCCCUCAGUUUUUCUGAAUUGACUAAACUGGCCAACUCUACUAUCUUUUUGUAGAAAUAGGUUGGUGGUUGGCUCACACCUGGGUAGUUAUGGUCGGGUGCUGCUAACUCACAACUUGGGUGCCCGGACCCAAAGAAAAUGUGGAUAGUGGGAAAGAAAGGAGUGACCACUCACACCAUCUGGACUAUAGGAUAUAUUUAUUGAAUAGGACCUGUUGUGUCCAAUAAAUCAUUCAUAUAUAUGCACUCAAACAAUAAAAACUAAUAGUUGGUACCAACACAUAAAAUUGUACUGAUAAACGGUGGGUGUGCAAUCCUCAUGCCGUUAAUGUUCAAGAUUGGCACUUUGCACCGCCUAGAAUCUUGCAGUAAAUAAACCACUGUUGGUAUUGGUAAUACCGCAAACCGCAGUCGGAAAUUGAAAUGUCCCGAAAGAAAAUACCUGUAGCUCCAAAUGGUAUUUUAAGUCUCCUCGUGCAUGUAGAUAUAUAUUUUGACAAGAAAGUCUCUCCCAAGUUACUUUGGCAUAACCGCCCAGAACUAUAGAUUUCAAGCCACUUUGUGCUAAAUUAGCAGUUUAAGUUCAUACCUGGUUCCAAAUUGUCCCCCGCUAAGCCGUCCUUCCACGAGGAGCGAGUGAUGCCGGCUGCUACGGCGUCUCACGUCGCAAAUCUCGGGUUGCUGACGUCAC